ACAUUACACUAAAUCAUUGUGUAUCCCUCCGUGGUCCAUUCGAAAGUAGUGCCUAUUUCUAAAUAGUUCCUUUUCUCUUCUUGAAUAUAAGCCAUUUAACAAUGUGAGACAUGUCUUUUGUGGUUAUUUGUAAUAUCCUGUAUGUGUCUGGAGUACUUUGAUGCCUUGGAUUGGAAGCUAACUUAAAAGAUGAACUUUUGAGGGUGUGUUUUCUAUUGUGUGGGGCUUUUGUCGAAAUUAGGAUUCCGAAACACGUUUUUCUACGGUGGGUUCAUUCGACAGCGAUUUACUUUCUUAGAAGUUGCGAGACGGUAUGUUUUUGAUUGCAAUUAUUGGAAGAUGACAGAUCCAUCUUUAAAAUGAUACCAGGUUCGGAAAAAUUGAUACGUCGGAAAGGCAAGAAAAAUGCUGUGAAAGUUGUCAGUUUUAUAAUGGGACCCUAUGGGAAUCGGAAUUAGUGUAAUAUAACCUUUAAAAAGCACAUUUACUGCAAUGUCAAGGUCACAUGGAUUCGUCUGCAAGCGUAACAAGUAGAAAAUGAAUUGUAAUGAAUGUUUUGAUGAUUUGGGCUCUAAAAUAGAUGAGAGAUGUCAAUAUUUUGGUCCAAAUGGAUGUUUUAGGUGGUUUUGGACUGUUCCGGAUGGUUGGGGAACUGGUAUGGACAAGCCUGACCGUUUGUCCUUGAGCCGUAGAUGGUCAACAAUCCGCUAGCUGUCUUGCUCUGACUGGUGCACUGGACAUGAUUUCAAUAGUCAGCCAGACCAUGAUUGAGCUUAAGGAUUGUGCUGCGGAUGCAGCCUGUGCAGUUCCGGGAGAAAGUCACUGUCUUGGGCAAUGCGGUCUGGUAUCAGGUCUGGAUGAUCCUUGCCUGACUGCGGGUUUGUGUACACCUCAAUCCGACUCUGUGUCCUGAACAGAGGCCGCAGUGGUGCAGCGCUUGUGGACGAUCCAUCAACAUCCUGAAAGGUCAACACUUCACCAAGCUGGGAAAAUUGAUCCUGAUAGUCAUCCCCAGGUAGUGGAAUGAAUGUACACUGAACUACAGUGGAAUCACACCCAAAUGACUUUCCUGCCACGACAUUAGUGUGGCCACUCGCGUAGGAAUUCCUUAGCAAACAUUCUCUUUUGCAUGGUUACUGUGGGCAUUUUUGCAACACUUAAGCUUUCAACACUGGAUUUUAAAGAGAAUACUUAAUAAAAUGUCGCUAACAGGACUUAGUUAUAUGAGAGAGACUAUCUGGAUGCGCAUUAAGUGUCACUUUGUGUCGUAAGCUGUUGAAGGAGCGAUUUGCGCCUUUUUAAGUGUUAAUUUUGGGUAGCCGGCUUGUAUCGGCUUGAAAGCUGCAAAUUUUGCCUCUCAUCAUAAUGGCAUUAAUUUUUGUAAUUGCAAUGUGUAUGCUUAGAUUGUAAGUGAAGCUUUUAAUAAUAAUUUUCUUAAAAAACAUGAUUUUAUAUGCUGUCAGUGAGUUUUUUAUUGAAAAAAGUGCUUAAAAUUAAAAAAAAGUCUCCUGUUUCAUCAAGAAAAGUACACUGAUUCACAAUCAAUACAUUUAUUUGGGCCUUUUCCUGUUAUAUUGGGGAAUUUCGCAUGCAAUGAUACCAGUUUUUGCCAUAAAAGUUACGCGUAACAAUAAUUGGAACCACGAAAUCAGCUGUCGUCACUUAGACUAAAAAUCAUGCAUUCCGACUUGACUGCGGCCAAUUUAGUCACCGCUUAAAAUGGCCAUUUUAAGGCCUUUACCCCCAUCCGAAUGCACUGAAAUUGCAUAUUCAUUGUGGAAAUAGUUGAAAUCUCAUGUGGAGAAAGUUUGAAAAAGAUAGGACAAAGUUGAGUUCCCUUAAAGGUUACAUUACACUAAAUCAUUGUGUAUCCCUCCGUGGUCCAUUCGAAAGUAGUGCCUAUUUCUAAAUAGUUCCUUUUCUCUUCUUGAAUAUAAGCCAUUUAACAAUGUGAGACAUGUCUUUUGUGGUUAUUUGUAAUAUCCUGUAUGUGUCUGGAGUACUUUGAUGCCUUGGAUUGGAAGCUAACUUAAAAGAUGAACUUUUGAGGGUGUGUUUUCUAUUGUGUGGGGCUUUUGUCGAAAUUAGGAUUCCGAAACACGUUUUUCUACGGUGGGUUCAUUCGACAGCGAUUUACUUUCUUAGAAGUUGCGAGACGGUAUGUUUUUGAUUGCAAUUAUUGGAAGAUGACAGAUCCAUCUUUAAAAUGAUACCAGGUUCGGAAAAAUUGAUACGUCGGAAAGGCAAGAAAAAUGCUGUGAAAGUUGUCAGUUUUAUAAUGGGACCCUAUGGGAAUCGGAAUUAGUGUAAUAUAACC